AACCUUUAUACUCGGUCUCGCGAAUGCACCNAGCAUGGAUUUUAAAUGAUCCUGGCUCUAGUAGAUGACCCGCUGGGUCGGUAAUAGUGCCUAACACAUGCAAUGUCUGACACUGGCAAGCACAAGGAAGACGCUUGCUCUCUGGGUGUUGUGCUGAUGUUGGGCUGUGACGGUGUGACGUGAAUACAAUCUGUGACAUCAUACUUUUUUCUC
rnacentral:rRNA from 1 species